rnacentral:rRNA from 1 species
UACGAAGGGGGCUAGCGUUGCUCGGAAUCACUGGGCGUAAAGAGCGUGUAGGCGGUUCGGUAAGUCUGUCGUGAAAUCCUGAGGCUCAACCUUGGACGUGCGAUGGAUACUGCCGGGCUAGAGGAUGGUAGAGGCGAGUGGAAUUCUCGGUGUAGCGGUGAAAUGCGCAGAUAUCAGGAGGAACACCUAUGGCGAAGGCAGCUCGCUGGGACGGUACUGACGCUGAGGCGCGAAAGCGUGGGGAGCGAACAGG